rnacentral:misc_RNA from 1 species
CUGAUUUGCUUAAUUGGCACCAACAUGUGUUUUUUCUUUGAAACACAAACUUGGCUUUGGCGGUGGGCCCAGCCUGCCGCCAGAGGUUUUAAACUUACAACCCAUUUUUUAAUUAACUUGUCACACCAGAUUAAUUACUAAAUAGUCAAAACUUUCAACAACGGAUCUCUUGGUUCUCGCAUCGAUGAAGAACGCAGCGAAAUGCGAUACGUAAUAUGAAUUGCAGAUAUUCGUGAAUCAUCGAAUCUUUGAACGCACAUUGCGCCCUCUGGUAUUCCGGAGGGCAUGCCUGUUUGAGCGUCGUUUCUCCCUCAAACCGCUGGGUUUGGUGUUGAGCAAUACGACUUGGGUUUGCUUGAAAGACGGUAGUGGUAAGGCGGGAUCGCUUUGACAAUGGCUUAGGUCUAACCAAAAACAUUGCUUGCGGCGGUAACGUCUACCACGUAUAUCUUACAAACUUGUACCUCUUAUCGGAUGCUCCUGCUGCGCUUCGAUAC